UACGGGAGGCAGCAGUGGGGAAUAUUGCACAAUGGGCGCAAGCCUGAUGCAGCCAUGCCGCGUGUAUGAAGAAGGCCUUCGGGUUGUAAAGUACUUUCAGUCGUGAGGAAGGUGUUAAGGUUAAUAACCUUAGCAAUUGACGUUAGCGACAGAAGAAGCACCGGCUAACUCCGUGCCAGCAGCCGCGGUAAUACGGAGGGUGCGAGCGUUAAUCGGAAUUACUGGGCGUAAAGGGCACGCAGGCGGUUAAUUAAGUUGGAUGUGAAAUCCCCGGGCUUAACCUGGGAAUGGCAUUCAAGACUGGUUAGCUAGAGUCUUGUAGAGGGGGUAGAAUUCCAUGUGUAGCGGUGAAAUGCGUAGAGAUGUGGAGGAAUACCGGUGGCGAAGGCGGCCCCUGGACAAGACUGACGCUCAUGUGCGAAAGCGUGGGGAGCAAACGAGGGAUUAGAUA
rnacentral:rRNA from 1 species